UACGUAGGGUGCGAGCGUUGUUCGGAAUUACUGGGCGUAAAGCGCGCGUAGGCGGUUCUUCAAGUCAGAGGUGAAAGCCCGGUGCUCAACAUCGGAAUUGCCUUUGAAACUAGGGAACUUGAAUCCAGGAGAGGUGAGUGGAAUUCCGAGUGUAGAGGUGAAAUUCGUAGAUAUUCGGAAGAGCACCAGUGGCGAAGGCGGCUCACUGGACUGGUAUUGACGCUGAGGUGCGAAAGCGUGGGGAGCAAACAGG
rnacentral:rRNA from 1 species